UUUUUAUGCAAGUCGAACGAACUCUGGUAAUGAUUGGUGCUUGCAUCAUGAGUUACAUUUGAGUGAGUGGCGAACUGGUGAGUAACACGUGGGAAACCUGCCCAGAAGCGGGGGAUAACACCUGGAAACAGAUGCUAAUACCGCAUAACAACUUGGACCGCAUGGUCCGAGUUUGAAAGAUGGCUUCGGCUAUCACUUUUGGAUGGUCCCGCGGCGUAUUAGCUAGAUGGUGAGGUAACGGCUCACCAUGGCAAUGAUACGUAGCCGACCUGAGAGGGUAAUCGGCCACAUUGGGACUGAGACACGGCCCAAACUCCUACGGGAGGCAGCAGUAGGGAAUCUUCCACAAUGGACGAAAGUCUGAUGGAGCAACGCCGCGUGAGUGAAGAAGGGUUUCGGCUCGUAAAACUCUGUUGUUAAAGAAGAACAUAUCUGAGAGUAACUGUUCAGGUAUUGACGGUAUUUAACCAGAAAGCCACGGCUAACUACGUGCCAGCAGCCGCGGUAAUACGUAGGUGGCAAGCGUUGUCCGGAUUUAUUGGGCGUAAAGCGAGCGCAGGCGGUUUUUUAAGUCUGAUGUGAAAGCCUUCGGCUCAACCGAAGAAGUGCAUCGGAAACUGGGAAACUUGAGUGCAGAAGAGGACAGUGGAACUCCAUGUGUAGCGGUGAAAUGCGUAGAUAUAUGGAAGAACACCAGUGGCGAAGGCGGCUGUCUGGUCUGUAACUGACGCUGAGGCUCGAAAGUAUGGGUAGCAAACAGGAUUAGAUACCCUGGUAGUCCAUACCGUAAACGAUGAAUGCUAAGUGUUGGAGGGUUUCCGCCCUUCAGUGCUGCAGCUAACGCAUUAAGCAUUCCGCCUGGGGAGUACGGCCGCAAGGCUGAAACUCAAAGGAAUUGACGGGGGCCCGCACAAGCGGUGGAGCAUGUGGUU
rnacentral:rRNA from 2 species